ensembl:snRNA U6 U6 spliceosomal RNA
GUGUUCGCUUCGGUAGCACAUAUACUAAAACUGGAACGAUAGAAAGAAGAUUAGUAUGGCCCCUGCCCAAGGAUGACAUGCGAAUUUGUGAAGCAGUCCAUAUUUAA